UUAUCUUUGCCCGCGUUUUGUUCCGGUUCCCUAUUCGGGAAACGGAUGAAAAGGGAAUCGGGUGUAAAUCCCGAACAGUCCCGCUGCUGUGAGUUUCGCGUUGAAUGUAUCAUUCUUUAGCCACUGUUUUAAUUAAAAUGGGAAGGCGAUACAUUAGAAAUAAGUCAGAAGACCUGCAAAACAAAGUCAAAAAAUU
rnacentral:ncRNA from 21 species